ensembl:lncRNA
CCUUAUUAUCCUGGAUAGGCAAAAUAGGCACAAAUAGUCACCUGAUGAUUGGUAUUUUUAUCAAAGUGAACUGGAUUUAUUGAGAUCAGGUUUGCAAAGAACCCUAGAAUAAAAGCUAAAGCACAGAGUAAAGUGUUUAAUACAGUUACAUGUCUUUUGUGUAAUAUCCUAACAUCAGGAGAUUUUCUGAUCUUCAAGAAGAAGUUCCAAGGUUCAUUUUAAGGAGUAUCUUGAUGACAUAUUGCCUGUCCUAUUUGUCUGUGUAGAUACGUUCUCUCUCUCGGGGAGAAGGAUCGCAGGGUCAUUUGAGCCGAACACUCUCAGCUCAGAAUAAUAAACUGGAGGAAGAGGGCCCUCAGGGUAGCCAAAAAAAAAAAAACAGCUCUGCGUUAUGGAUGAGUCGUGAAUGCAUGAAGAAGUGUGCAUGACGGAUGUUAGGUACAAGAGUGAAAGGGCGAGCAAAGUUCAGCAAGGUAAUGCACAAACUUUUUAUGUCUUCAUGUAUGUAAUAAUGGCUGAAGAUAUAAAGAAUCUGUGUGCAUUAGGGUUCAAGGGUGUCUUUUUCUCCAACAGGAAAUGUCUUGCUCUUAACAAAACCACAGUUUACACUGGACUAAGCACAAAUGAAAAAAGAAACGGCAGAGAAAGAGGGAGAGCGAAUGAGGGAUUAUGGCAAAAAUAUUUUGUCAAUAGCCGACAGGCCCACAUACCGCAAGGAAUGAUUGCCCUGGAGUGGCCCAG